CUAAGAAUCUUCCGCAAUGGACGAAAGUCUGACGGAGCGACGCCGCGUGGGCGAAGAAGGCCGUGAGGUUGUAAAGCCCUUUUCUACCUGAGGAAUAAGCCCCCGAGGGAAUGCGGGGGUGAUGACGGUAGGGUAGGAAGAAGCCCCGGCUAAUUACGUGCCAGCAGCCGCGGUAACACGUAUGGGGCGAGCGUUGUUCGGAAUUAUUGGGCGUAAAGGGCGCGUAGGCGGAUGGACAAGUCUGGUGUGAAAGACCGCAGCUCAACUGCGGAAGCGCGCUGGAAACUGUUGAUCUUGAAUCCUUGAGGGGGAACUGGAAUUCCUGGUGUAGGGGUGAAAUCUGUAGAUAUCAGGAAGAACACCGGUGGCGAAGGCGAGUUCCUGGCAAGUGAUUGACGCUGAGGCGCGAAAGCGUGGGGAGCGAACAGGAUUAGAUACCCCCGUAGUCC
rnacentral:rRNA from 1 species